CCAAGGAGUCUAACAUGUGCGCGAGUCGUCGGGUAGUCUUCCCCGUAAGGCUAAACCCGUUCGGCGCAAUCAAAGUGAAGGCCGCGCCGCUUCCUUCCGCCCCUGUGCGGUCGGGCGGCCGGCCGAAGCGGGAUCCGCAUCUCGGGCAAACGGUACUCGCUAGCCCUGCGGCGCACCGCUGGCCCGUCUUAUCCGCACCGUCGGUGAGGCGGAGCCCGAGCGUACACGUUGGGACCCGAAAGAUGGUGAACUAUGCUUGGGCAGGACGAAGCCAGAGGAAACUCUGGUGGAGGUCCGUAGCGAUUCUGACGUGCAAAUCGAUCGUCAGACCUGAGUAUAGGGGCGAAAGACUAAUCGAACCGUCUA
rnacentral:rRNA from 1 species